rnacentral:rRNA from 1 species
CAGCCCUAAACGAUGCGCGUUAGGUGUAUCGGUGACCACGAGUCACCGAGGUGCCGAAGGGAAACCGUGAAACGUGCCGCCUGGGAAGUACGGUCGCAAGGCUGAAACUUAAAGGAAUUGGCGGGGGAGUACCACAACGGGUGGAGCCUGCGGUUUAAUUGGACUCAACGCCGGGAAGCUCACCGGAUAAGACAGCGGAAUGAUUGCCGGGCUGAAGACCCUGCAUGACCAGCUGAGAGGAGGUGCAUGGCGUGUGACUGU